CAAGGAUUCCCCGAGUAACGGCGAGCGAAAGGGGAGGAGCCCAGCGCUGAAUCCCCCAGUCCUGCAGGGCUGGCGGGAAAUGUAGCGUUUAGGAGGGUCGCUUCUCCCGGAGCGCCGCGGCCAGUCCAAGUCCCUCUUGAACGGGGCCACGGUCCCUAGAAGGUGCCAGGCCUGUGGGAUGGUUGCGGCUUCCGGGAAGGCCUCUCCUUUGAGUCGGGUUGCUUGAGAGUGCAGCCCUAAGCAGGUGGUAAACUCCAUCUAAGGCUAAAUACAACCACGAGACCGAUAGCAAACAAGUACCGUGAGGGAAAGUUGAAAAGAACUUUGAAGAGAGAGUUCAAGAGUACGUGAAACCGUUCGGGGGUAAACGGGUGGAGCCCUAAAGGUCGAAAGAGGAGAUUCAGUAUCCCGUCCACAUUGCCGCUCUUCGUCGCGGGUAAAACUUGGGGUCGCUGGCUUGCCAGUGGCUCUGGGCCCGCGGCGGAGUCUCGCGCGCAGGUGGGGGAGCGCACUUCUCCUCGAGUAGGACGCCGCGACCCGUUAGGUGUCGGUCGAAGGCCCGGGUUGCGAGCCCGUCACCGCGGCUUGCCGUGGAGGCGGAGUGCUGGUGUCCCGGCCGACUGCUUGACGGUCGAACGUGCGGAAAAGGCCCGCGUGCUUUUCGAAGCUCGCGCUCGUGCCCAGUGCAAGCGUUUGGCAGAACUCGUCGCACGGACUUGUCCGUCGCGGGCCUGCCGGCGUUGUUGGCGCAGGGAUUUCUCGAGCAGUGGCCUGCUCCUGUUUGCGGCGCUCAAAACUGGGCGGCCCACCCGGCCCGUCUUGAAACACGGACCAAGGAGUCUAACAUGUGCGCGAGUCAUUGGGUACCACUACACCCAAGGGCGUAUUGAACGAAAAGGCCGGCCUCGCGCCGGCUGAGGGAAGAUGGAGGUCCGCUUGCGGGCCUCCCGCAUUCCCGGGGCGUCUCGUCCUACUUCCGCUUGUCGGUCGAAGGUGAGGCGCACCAAGAGCGCACACGUUGGGACCCGAAAGAUGGUGAACUAUGCCUGGCCAGGACGAAGUCAGGGGAAACCCUGAUGGAGGUCCGUAGCGAUUCUGACGUGCAAAUCGAUCGUCGGAGCUGGGUAUAGGGGCGAAAGACUAAUCGAACCAUCUAGUAGCUGGUUCCUUCCGAAGUUUCCCUCAGGAUAGCUGGCGCUCAUUGAACCGAGUCCCAUCCGGUAAAGCGAAUGAUUAGAGGCCUUGGGGUCGAAACGACCUCAACCUAUUCUCAAACUUUAAAUGGGUGGGAACCGCGGCUUGUUUGAACGUAAAGCCGCGGACCACGGAUCGGAGUGCCCAGUGGGCCACUUUUGGUAAGCAGAACUGGCGCUGUGGGAUGAACCAAACGCCCGGUUAAGGCGCCCGAAUCGCCGCUCAUUCGAAACCAUGAAAGGUGUUGGUUGCUUAAGACAGCAGGACGGUGGCCAUGGAAGUCGGAAUCCGCUAAGGAGUGUGUAACAACUCACCUGCCGAAGCAACUAGCCCUGAAAAUGGAUGGCGCUGAAGCGGCGUGCCUAUACCGGGCCGCCGGUGGCAGAAGGCGCAGUGCCCUCGGGCGCUCGCUGCGAAGCCCCGGUGAGUAGGAGGGUCGCGACGGUGAGCGCAGAAGGGUCUGGGCGUGAGCCUACCUGGAGCCGCCGUCGGUGCAGAUCUUGGUGGUAGUAGCAAAUACUCCAGCGAGGCCCUGGAGGACUGAUGUGGAGAAGGGUUCCGUGUGAACAGCCGUUGCACACGGGUCAGUCGAUCCUAAGCCCUAGGAGAAAUCCGAUGUUGAUGGUCGCGGGAUGUUCCAGCCUCGUUUUAUGGAAAGCUCUGUGCCCAGAGCGGCUUUCGAGGAAGGCGAAAGCGAAGUCGGUCUCGCGUCGAGAACGUGACCGAGCGAAAGGAGUCGAGAGACGGCCGCACGCGCGACACGAGUUGGUCGCGCUCGGACGAACACUGUCUCUCUCGGACCUCCGAGUAGCUCGCGAGCGUUUCUGCGGCGCCCCGACUGCGCGGAAACCGAUAACUCGAUCGCAGUGUCUGGGUGGCUCGACGGCAUAAAAUCUCUUGCCGGUCGUGAAGAACCGCGAAAUGCGAUUUCGCAGACGCUGUGUCCCCCUGGCGCUCGCCGCUGCAGUGGGGUUCGCGCGUGGUGUGUGGAGACAUAACAAGAAGCAAAGUCCGAAGCUCGCUGGUGAAAGAAUCGAACCGAGGAAAGAGGCACGUAAAAACUGCCUCUUCCGUCCUCCUGUUUGCACUUUCUGGAACCGCGCUGACGAACUAAUGCCGCUAGUGUCUUGCAUGCCGCGUUAGCGAGCUCGCGCUGGCUUGUCGGUUUUUAAAAGAGUUCACAAUGCCGGGUGCACGGGUGGCGUCUGCUCGAGAUCUCGAACGCUGCGGCGAAACGACGCGGCUCGCAGAAUUUUUAUUCGCGGACCCCGUUUCGAGCCCCAAGUACAGUCUAAAACGGCUUUCCAUUCGCAAUGACGAGCGAACUAGCACCCCGUCCGUCGGGCGAAAGGGAAUCCGGUUCCUAUUCCGGAACCCGGUUGCGGAACCGCACUCACGAUCCUCGUAUUGACACGGUAACGUGAAAGACCCCAGAGAAGCCGUCUGGAGCCCCGGGAAGAGUUUUCUUUUCUGCCUGAGCGUUCAGGUUCCAUGGAAUCCUCUCGCAGGGAGAUAUGGAAUAGAACGCGAAGAGCACCGCAGUUGCUGCGGUGUCCGGGGAGUCCCGUCGGUCCUUGAAAAU
rnacentral:rRNA from 1 species